UACAGAGGGUGCGAGCGUUAAUCGGAAUUACUGGGCGUAAAGCGUGCGUAGACGGUUAUUUAAGUCGGAUGUGAAAGCCCCGGGCUCAACCUGGGAAUUGCAUUCGAGACUGCAUUGCUAGAGUAUGGGAGAGGGAAGUGGAAUUUCCGGUGUAGCGGUGAAAUGCGUAGAUAUCGGAAGGAACAUCAGUGGCGAAAGCGGCUCACUGGAUCGAUACUGACGCUGAGGUGCGAAAGCUAGGGUAGCAAACGGG
rnacentral:rRNA from 1 species